rnacentral:rRNA from 1 species
UUGGUCAUUUAGAGGAAGUAAAAGUCGUAACAAGGUCUCCGUUGGUGAACCAGCGGAGGGAUCAUUACCGAGUUUACAACUCCCAAACCCCUGUGAACAUACCACUUGUUGCCUCGGCGGAUCAGCCCGCUCCCGGUAAAACGGGACGGCCCGCCAGAGGACCCCUAAACUCUGUUUCUAUAUGUAACUUCUGAGUAAAACCAUAAAUAAAUCAAAACUUUCAACAACGGAUCUCUUGGUUCUGGCAUCGAUGAAGAACGCAG